rnacentral:rRNA from 1 species
UACGUAGGGGGCAAGCGUUGUCCGGAAUCAUUGGGCGUAAAGAGCGUGUAGGCGGCCUGGAAAGUCUGGUGUGAAAUCUUGGGGCUCAACCCCAAGCGGUCACUGGAUACUCUCAGGCUUGAAUCCGGAAGAGGAGAGUGGAAUUCCUGGUGUAGCGGUGGAAUGCGCAGAUAUCAGGAGGAACACCAACGGCGAAGGCAGCUCUCUGGUACGUGAUUGACGCUGAGACGCGAAAGCGUGGGUAGCAAACAGG